rnacentral:tRNA from 1 species
UCCCUGGUGGCUCAGAGGUUAAAGCGUCUGCCUGAAAUGCAGGAGACCUGGGUUCGAUCCCUGGGUUGGGAA